rnacentral:rRNA from 1 species
GCAGAGAUUACCUCUUGUACCUUUUGCAUCAUGAUUUAGCCAGAAACCCCAAGCAAAGAGCACUUUAGUUUGACUCCCCGAAACUAGCGUGAGCUACUCCAAGACAGCCUAUCUAUAGGGCAAACCCGUCUCUGUGGCAAAAGAGUGGGAAGAGCUUUGAGUAGAGGUGACAAACCUACCGAACCUAGCAAUAGCUGGUUGCCUGAAAACUGGAUAUAAGUUCAGCCUCCCGGCUUCUCCAUACACCGCGGAGUUAGUCAAAGGGGGUACAGCCCCUUUGAACCAAACACAACUUUACCAGGGGGUAAAGAUCAAAAUAUACCAAGGAAUAUGUUCUGGGGGCCUAAAGCAGCCAUCCAAAUAAAAGCGUUCAAGCUCAACAUCCAAUCCCGAAACCCAAUCUUAUCCCCCUAAACUUACAGGCCGCCCCAUGCAACCAUGGGGGGUCCAUGCUAAUAUGAGUAAUAAGAGAGCCCUCUCUCCCCGCAUAAGUGUAAAUCGAAACGGACCCCCCAUCGAUAUUUAAACGGCCCCACACCAAGAGGGCAUUAGGAAGCAACAAGAAAAUCGCCUACCGUUAACCCCACACUGGUAUGCAUCUCGGGAAAGACAAAAGGAAAAAGAAGGAACUCGGCAAAUAAGCCUCGCCUGUUUACCAAAAACAUCGCCUCUUGCAAAAAUAAGAGGUCCAACCUGCCCAGUGACCAUGUGUUUAACGGCCGCAGUAUUUUGACUGUGCGAAGGUAGCGUAAUCACUUGUCUUUUAAAUGGAGACCUGUAUGAACGGUAAAACGAGGGCUUAACUGUCUCCUUUUUCUAGUCAAUGAAAUUGAUCUCCCCGUGCAGAAGCGGGGAUACAUACAUAAGACGAGAAGACCCUGUGGAGCUUUAGACGCCAGAGCAGACCAUGUUAAACACCCCGAACUAAAGGAAUAAACUGAUUGAAUACUGCUCCCAUGUCUUCGGUUGGGGCGACCGUGAGGAAAUUAAAAAACCCUCCACGUGGAAUGGGAGCACUCCCACAACUAAGAGCCACAGUUCUAAGCAACAGAAUAUCUGACCAAUAGAGAUCCGGCAAAGCCGAUUAACGAACCAAGUUACCCCAGGGAUAACAGCGCAAUCCCCUUCUAGAGCCCAUAUCGACAAGGGGGUUUACGACCUCGAUGUUGGAUCAGGACAUCCUAAUGGCGCAG